rnacentral:rRNA from 1 species
AAUCUUCCGCAAUGGACGAAAGUCUGACGGAGCAACGCCGCGUGAGUGAUGAAGGUUUUCGGAUCGUAAAACUCUGUUGUUAGGGAAGAACAAGUUAGGAAGUAACUGACCUAGCCAUGACGGUACCUAACCAGAAAGCCACGGCUAACUACGUGCCAGCAGCCGCGGUAAUACGUAGGUGGCAAGCGUUGUCCGGAAUUAUUGGGCGUAAAGCGCUCGCAGGCGGUCUUUUAAGUCUGAUGUGAAAUCUUGCGGCUCAACCGUAAGCGUGCAUUGGAAACUGGAGGACUUGAGUACAGAAGAGGAGAGUGGAAUUCCACGUGUAGCGGUGAAAUGCGUAGAGAUGUGGAGGAACACCAGUGGCGAAGGCGACUCUCUGGUCUGUAACUGACGCUGAGGAGCGAAAGCGUGGGGAGCAAAC